UGGAAGCAAAGUUACCUUGUUGGAGGUUCUUGUCUUUGUGAGGCCUUGUGAAGUGUAGCUUCCAUGGAAAUAAGUAGGAGGCAUUACUUCUGGAGUGAUCUAUGUACUUCGUACUCUGGUCAGAAUAGAUGGCUUGUGGUUGAGCUUGUACCUAAGAGACUGUCAUCAAAUGAUUUGGGACCAUUUGGCUCCUACUCCACCUGGCCUACUGACAUCUGUUGGGAUCACGUGUUUGUUGUGGGACUGCUACUGAGAUGGUGACAACACCUGGAAGAAAAAGAAGGAAAGGAGAAAGCUACC
ensembl:lncRNA